rnacentral:rRNA from 2 species
UAGGGAAUCUUCGGCAAUGGACGAAAGUCUGACCGAGCAACGCCGCGUGAGUGAAGAAGGUUUUCGGAUCGUAAAACUCUGUUGUUAGAGAAGAACAAAGACGUUAGUAACUGAACGUCCCCUGACGGUAUCUAACCAGAAAGCCACGGCUAACUACGUGCCAGCAGCCGCGGUAAUACGUAGGUGGCAAGCGUUGUCCGGAUUUAUUGGGCGUAAAGCGAGCGCAGGCGGUUUCUUAAGUCUGAUGUGAAAGCCCCCGGCUCAACCGGGGAGGGUCAUUGGAAACUGGGAGACUUGAGUGCAGAAGAGGAGAGUGGAAUUCCAUGUGUAGCGGUGAAAUGCGUAGAUAUAUGGAGGAACACCAGUGGCGAAGGCGGCUCUCUGGUCUGUAACUGACGCUGAGGCUCGAAAGCGUGGGGAGCAAACAGG